rnacentral:rRNA from 1 species
UACGUAGGGGGCAAGCGUUAUCCGGAUUUACUGGGUGUAAAGGGAGCGUAGGCGGCGGAGCAAGUCAGAAGUGAAAGCCCGGGGCUCAACCCCGGUACGGCUUUUGAAACUGCCCUGCUUGAUUUCAGGAGAGGUAAGCGGAAUUCCUAGUGUAGCGGUGAAAUGCGUAGAUAUUAGGAGGAACACCAGUGGCGAAGGCGGCUUACUGGACUGACAAUGACGCUGAGGCUCGAAAGCGUGGGGAGCAAACAGG